GACGGGGGGGGCAAGUGUUCUUCGGAAUUACUGGGCGUAAAGCGCACGUAGGCGGCUCGUUAAGUCGGAGGUGAAAUCCUGGAGCUCAACUCCAGAACUGCCUUCGAUACUGAUGAGCUCGAGUUCGGGAGAGGUGAGUGGAACUGCGAGUGUAGAGGUGAAAUUCGUAGAUAUUCGCAAGAACACCAGUGGCGAAGGCGGCUCACUGGCCCGAUACUGACGCUGAG
rnacentral:rRNA from 1 species